GGGCCUAUAGCUCAGCUGGUCAGAGCACCUCGUUUACACCGAGGGGGCCGGGGGUUCGAGUCCCUCUGGGCCCA
rnacentral:tRNA from 1 species